rnacentral:lncRNA from 14 species
AUGGAUUCAGUGAGACAAAUGGAAAAGCACUCACUGCAAGGACUUGCACUUGGAAAACAAGCUUUCACAAGUCAAUUUUGAUGAAGUGGUUUGUGCUGUUGCCUUAUCUUACUCUGAAAACUCAAGCUAUCAUCUGACCUAUUUCUCCUCAAAGGCAAACCUUCCAUCUGCCAACCCGGCCUCUAUGCUUUUGCAGCAGUUACAGGAAUAACGUAUGUAUGGACCCUGGAGUCACUGCAUUUGUACCAUCUACGCUGCUUGAUGCUUGAGAGUUGAGUAGCAGCUCAAGGACCUCAAAUCUGAGUGAACUGUAAUGAUAUCUGCCAAGGUCCUGGCUCAUCUCAGCAGCAGCAAGGCACACUUUGCUCUCCAAUUGGGUGGAAAACGGAACUUCUUACAAGUAACCUCUGCAAAUAUCCAUCAUGCCCCCCGAAGGCCCCGCAGUCUGAGCCAGCAUGCAGCUCAGCCCUUCUAGGAAAGCCUGCAACUAUCGACACCAGGUUUUACUUGUAUCGAUCCGUCUGGAAUAUGGGGCAGGCGUUUCUGGUUUGCUUUGGCAGACCUCGAGGAGGGCUGGCAGGACUCCGGGAUGACAAGUGCGAACCCAAGCUCCAGGUUUUGCUCGGCACAAUCUAACAGCGCGGUGGGGCAGGAGCACCGCGGGGCUGAGGCACGGCAGAGGAGGAG